ACAACAGCAUUCCUGACCUCUGAGCCGCUCAAAAUGCUAAGAUGUUUCUGAAGGUGAAAUGGACACCUCACGCAGAUUCCCGGGGUGGUUACGGUUCCCAGCUAUGCGCUGCCUCCCCGUUUUGUCGCGGUGUUUGUUCCAAACCAGAGAGGUCUUGACAGCUGAAGAAGAGGAACUAAGGCCAACCGAGAAAUAUCCGAGAUUGUCUUCUCAUGAUGAUGCUUAAGGCUCAUAGCUGAGAUGAAUCUCCAAACUUCCUUCUUUUACAAAGUACUUGUGAGACAAUGAUGACAAGUAGAAUCUGUGAAAUCUCUAACCAACUGGAGAAGUCUCUUCUUACGUGCAUAGAAAGAAAAAUAUCAAAAUAAGGAGUGUCCAGAAGCUGUCAUGCUAGCAAGAGCUGGAGCUUAUGCUGGAUACACAGGAAAUACAGAUGAGUAAGGAAUCAGGCUCAGUCAAACAGCACUUGCCUUUUCAAGCAGAAGUGCAUGUGAGAGACCCUCACUGAUUUGGGAGCAAGGUGAGGAGGAAGGUCUUCUACAAAUGCACAAAAGUGACCAUGAUAGAACGAGAUGGUUUCACCGACCUGCCAAGUUCAGAGAGAAGAUGAUGCAUGAUCAUCAGGAGAGUACCAGCCUCAGGACCCGACAAAGCAGGUUUCUCCAGGAGCUUCGCACUGAGGGCUAAAGAUGCUCGCACCGCUAUCUGGCCCAAGCACAAGAAGGAAGAUUUCAGCUGCACACUGCUGGGUUCUCCAUCCCCUGCUGUUGACAACACCUUCAGCCCAUCUUCCGCCACCUUUCCUACUUUGCUCCUGCAGGGCAAGGAACAACUCAGAGUUCCUUCAACAGAAGGGGAGCUUCUGUUCUUCAACACGUCAUGCUCCUUCACCACAGGAGAAAAUGACAGUGCUGCCCCCACAUCUAGAACCCUCUCUGAUCAUUUCCUGCCCUGUGUCUGGAAGCCAAAAAUGUAUGAUUAAGAACAUGACUCUGAAAUAAAACACGUUGGCUCUGAAGCUGACUUUCCCUACUAACUUUAUGAUCUCGGAUGACGUAUUUAGAUGUCCUAACCUCAACUUCCUCAUCCGUAAAAUGAGCAUAAUGGUAUUAUUUACCUCAUAAAGUCAUGAUGAGAAUUGCAUGACAUGAUGAACAAAAAAUAUUCAGCCUACAGUCUGGCACAUAUAAAGUACUAAUUAACGUUUGUCAAACAAAUUGAAUAACUGGGUCCUGACACAUCCAGUUUCCUCGUAUUGGAAAGCCACUCCCUCUGCCAUCUGUGUGGCAAACUCCUACUGACCCUGCAAAACCUAGACUGAGUGACUGGGGUUAUUACAGAGAAAGUAACCUCUCACUGUAUCUGCUUCAAUAGCCAGAAUGUAUUGUUAGGUGAGAAAAGCAAAGUGCUUAACAGUGUAUAUGGCACUGUUUGUAAAAGAAAGUUAUGUUAACUUUUGUGUAGAAAGAAGGGCAAA